rnacentral:rRNA from 1 species
GUCUCCACCCGAGACUCAGUGAAAUUGAAAUCGCUGUGAAGAUGCAGUGUACCCGCGGCUAGACGGAAAGACCCCGUGCACCUUUACUACAGCUUGGCACUGAACUUUGAACCUAUCUGUGCAGGAUAGGUGGGAGGCUUUGAAGCGAUCACGCCAGUGGUCGUGGAGCCAACCUUGAAAUACCACCCUGGUAUGUUUGAAGUUCUAACCUAGACCCGUUAUCCGGGUUGGGGACAGUGUCUGGUGGGUAGUUUGACUGGGGCGGUCUCCUCCGAAAGAGUAACGGAGGAGCACUAAGGUACCCUCAGCGCGGUCGGACAUCGCGCAACGAGUGCAAAGGCAUAAGGGUGCUUGACUGCGAGACAGACACGUCGAGCAGGUGCGAAAGCAGGUCUUAGUGAUCCGGUGGUUCUGUAUGGAAGGGCCAUCGCUCAACGGAUAAAAGGUACGCCGGGGAUAACAGGCUGAUUCCUCCCAAGAGUUCACAUCGACGGGGGAGUUUGGCACCUCGAUGUCGGCUCAUCACAUCCUGGGGCUGGAGCAGGUCCCAAGGGUAUGGCUGUUCGCCAUUUAAAGUGGUACGCGAGCUGGGUUUAGAACGUCGUGAGACAGUUCGGUCCCUAUCUACCGUGGGCGUUUGAGAUUUGAAGGAAGCUGUUCCUAGUACGAGAGGACCGGAAUGGACGUAUCUCUGGUGUUCCGGUUGUCACGCCAGUGGCAUUGCCGGGUAGCUAUAUACGGAAAGGAUAACCGCUGAAAGCAUCUAAGCGGGAAGCCCCUCCUGAGAUGAGAUCUCACUAGAGCUUUAAGCUCUCUGAAGGGCCCUGGAAGACUACCAGGUUGAUAGGCUGGGUGUGGAAGCGCAGUAAUGUGUGAAGCUAACCAGUACUAAUUGCCCGUGAGGCUUGACCAUAUAACACCCAAG